CCUACGGGUGGCAGCAGUGGGGAAUAUUGGACAAUGGGCGAAAGCCUGAUCCAGCCAUGCCGCGUGUGUGAAGAAGGCCUUCGGGUUGUAAAGCACUUUCAGUGGGGAAGAAAGCCUUGGGGCUAAUACCCUCGAGGAAGGACAUCACCCACAGAAGAAGCACCGGCUAACUCCGUGCCAGCAGCCGCGGUAAUACGGAGGGUGCGAGCGUUAAUCGGAAUUACUGGGCGUAAAGCGCGCGUAGGCGGUCUGAUAAGCCGGUUGUGAAAGCCCCGGGCUCAACCUGGGAACGGCAUCCGGAACUGUCAGGCUAGAGUGCAGGAGAGGAAGGUAGAAUUCCCGGUGUAGCGGUGAAAUGCGUAGAGAUCGGGAGGAAUACCAGUGGCGAAGGCGGCCUCCUGGACUGACACUGACGCUGAGGUGCGAAAGCGUGGGUAGCAAACAGGAUUAGAUACCCUAGUAGUC
rnacentral:rRNA from 1 species